AUCUGUAUGUGUCACUCAGAAGUAGGUCUUCCUAAAUAAAUGAAGUUACACCCAAGCAAACUCACCGUAAUUGCAAGGAAAUAACAUUUCCAGGGUUAUGAUGGUAGAAAGAUGUUACAUGAAAAUGACACAAUUAAUUUUCUCCUCUUCUCCCGUGUGUAGCUUAGGGAAAGGUGGUGACAGCUCAGAGGUGGGAAAAGAUGUGGUGAGGGAGAUGUGGAGGGAGAGGGAAUGGCUGAACGACAGCCAGCUGUCAGCUAUGUCGUCAGCCAGCAACUGUGCUAUAAACUGGCAAAGUCAGGGGAGCAGGGUUUGGAGGCCUUCUAGGGAAGAAAAGAGUAAUACAUAUUGUUUGGGUAACCUAAUUGGGAGGGGAGAAGUUGUUUUGUGGUUUUUGUGACAGAGGCCUGGCAGGUGGAGUGCUUCUUGUCUGGAAGGAACAGCUGACUGAAUCCAAACACUUUUCUGAUUAGACAACAGAGGCACCCAGCCUGUGGGAAGUAAAGUGGUGAACAAGCAGCCUUGCAGGUUUUGGUUCCUUGCUGCCUCCUUUGAGACCAGUGUCCUCCAGGACAGGAUCAGAUCUGCUUCCUGGGUCAAGCUACUGUGUUUUUGUACUGAGGAGGAAGAGCUUUGCACUGAGGAAGUUAAAGACACCAAAAAGAAUAUUGACCUUUUAAACUUUUUCUCAGGAGUUGAAUGAUGAAGCUACUGAAAUGAGUUUUUUUUCCACUGUUCUCAGAUAGAAAAGUGGAUGAACAGAAGCUGAAUGGGGGAAUUACUUUUAUCAAAAUGAGACAAGCAUCUUGGUUUAAAAAAAAAAAAGUCAGAUGG